UCUUUUUUUGGGCCCAACCACCUACGCCUGAGGCGUGUCGUCUGGCCCAAUACAACAGAAAUGAUCAACGAGGGGAAAAAAAAAAUAAAGGAUAAGAAACCCUAGCGCGGUGGACUCUUUAAAAUGGGAGCCGUGCCAUCAACACCAGAUCUGAGUCCGUGCAUUCCAGCCUCCGCUCCCCAGAUAUGGAGCUCCGUACGGCAACAGCAGCCAUCCCAAACGUCCCCAACUACCACCGCAGACUCUCCGCUCCAAACCCUGUCUACCUCCUCCGCUCCAAACCUCUGUCCCUCUGAGAUCGACCAUUCUCCAUCGCACUGGUCGUGGCCUCCACUACCGUAUUUGAUGAAAAUAAAUUAAGGAUCUCUCACUUCGAGGGGAGCACCUCCAGCAAAGAAGAAGGAGAAUAGGGAAGAAACUGGAAAAUUCUAGUGCAUUUCGAUGAUGGAAAAUGCUCCUUACAUAGCGAUGCCCACGAGAUGGGCCUAGCUAGACGUAGAAAAUUAAAUGAAAGUGAUCCAAGUAUUAAGGGCCAAGGCCCAGUAUCUUUUACAACCAAAGUCAACAAAAGAACUAAUAACAUAUACAGAAAUAGUAAUGGGCUUAAACUGACCCAAGGCCCAACAAACGUACAGACUUCCAACUCAGUGGCUGAGGCCUGGUACCUGUUCUUGGACUGCGACAUAUGCUUGCUUGUAUACAUUCGAAUCACUCAUGAAUCUGAUUUCAUUUGCUUUUGAAGACUAAGAGUUUCUUUUGCUGAGCUUUUAACCUAAAAGAUAGAUGCCAUUGUACAAGUUUUUAGAACAUACGUGAGACACGUUUUGGCGUCCUGGAAAGAAAUUAAAGAAUCAAGACUAUAACUUUUGAGGUUUUAUGGUAUUUGAAUACGGAGUGCUUGAUUGUAUGGACAUUUUAUGGAGUAAGGUUGGUAACGUAGUUGACCUUGUGUGUUUAUGUUUCAUUCUAAUAUGUAAAGUGAUGCCCUCGAGGCAGAUGUCGUUGCUAUUGUUGUAACUCUCUUGGAUGCCCAAUAGAAACAAUUUUUUAACCAAAUUUCUAUUAUUUAGGGUUUUUCUUUUAUACUAAUCCGUUGCAAAGAGCAACCAUGUCUGAAGAAUCAUCAAGUCGAGCAAAUUAGUGUGUUGAUUAAGAACGUGAUGGUGUUAUAACCCUGGAAGAUGUUCAGCCAACUUAGAAUAAGACAUUCAUUGAAAAUAUGGCAUAUAGAUGUCUCUUCCGGAGAUGAGCAAACACAGUGGUUUGAGUUUUUUGAUAAUUUUCAUAAUAAGGUACCUUCAAAUCCCAGAAUUCCAUUUUGGUAGACAUUGGUGGUCUCAUCUAAAACAAGGGAAUGCUUCGUUUCUAAAUUGAAAAAAUAAUAGAUUGUGUGCUUAAAUGGAUAUUAAUAAUAAUUCAGCAUUUGCCAGUCUUUCCCGGGAAAGUAUCUCUCUCUUAUGUAACCAAAUAAACAUUUGAAAUUAAGUUAAUGAAAACGACCAAUCAACCUUGUUAAUGUUUCUGUGAUGUUAACAACCCCUAGGGGUUGGCUCAAGUGAUUAAGGCAUUGGUCUUGGUGGUAUGCUCCCUUCAAGGUCCAAGGUUCGAAUCUCAAUGGGUGCAAACAAUCUUUAGAGGCCAUUGGAUUGGGGGAUUUUCCCCUUGAAUUAUCCAAGAUGCACUUACGGGAAACUUCUUGUUAAAUACUUGUGCACUCCCGGGAUUAGUCUUGACACUGUUCCCAGACACCCGGUGCCAAUAAACAAAUAUGUUUCUGUGAUGUUAACAUUUACAAUUGAACUCAGAUCUUAAUAAAGUGUUGUGGUGACUCCUUCACAGUGGUCUAUGUUACAUAUUUUUGUGUUAAAUGGUUUUAGGCUAUGUGGGGUAGAUUAUCUUCUGACAGUUUUUAAUUAACAAGUAUUUUUUAUGUACUAAUAAUGUUCUUAUAUAUAUAUAUAUUUAUUUAUGGGGAAAUAUUUAUGUGACUUAGCAACUUUAAAAUAUAUGUUAUGUAAAUGUACGCAUAUAUUUCUUGAGGUACUUGAUAGUAUGAGAGAGAGAGAGAGAUGAAGCUAAAAUGGCCGGUGAUUGUUCAGGUGUACAUGAUCUAGUAGCUAUUCUCUUUUGUUGGAUGAUUUUAUCCUUUUUAUGAACGAUAAUGAUUAUUAUGUUCUUGCACAUUUAUAUAUAUGUUACUUUUGCAUUUAUAACACUAUUCCUUUUCUUCUAUUUUCUUAUUCAUAGCAAAUACAAUCAAGAAACUUUAUCUUUCAUCAGUCUUUUUUCAUGAGUUUUAGGGAGAGUGGGUGCUAUGAUGAUGCCUUCAGUGGUUGACAGUGUUCGUGGAAUACUGUAUGAAACGUCGACAACCAUGUCGAUCCUGAGCGGUUACCUGAGCACCCCAUCUAUUAGUAGUUUAAAUAAAUUGUUACAUCUCAGUUUUUGUUCUUUUCCUUCUCCCUUGUUCCAUAUAUUUCAUCAUCCCAUCAUUUUGUUCCUUGUCCACCUGGCUUUAUACUUUUUAAUGGUUUUUUUAUUUACUUGUAUGUAAAAGUUAAGUGUGUGUGGACCUUGCACAAACGCUUGCACCUUGCCAAUGGUACAAAAAUGAGUCAAUUGGGACUACAAUUUGGUUAUUUACUUCUCUGUCCUGAUGUUAGACGCAUUGAGUGACCAACUUUUGAUAUUUCUUAAAUAUUUUUUUUACUUCACAUCUUAUGAUUAGAACAGGAAUUAGUUGCUAUGAUGAUGGACAAAACAUUACGAAGCUUUCUAUAUAUGGUUGGUUGAUGAAAGUCAAUCCUGAGCGGUUACCUGCGCAACACGUGAUUCCUUCAAAAAAAGAGCUUCCUCUCCAUUUAUUUAUCCUUUUUUCCCCUUUCAUAUUUGGACUUCUAUGACCUUUUGUUGGCGUUCAAACUUAUCUUAAUGUUCAAUCCCUCUACAUUCUACAAAUGUGCAUGUGUUUUUUAUUAUGUAUCUUAUUCAUUAUGUAUUUAUUUAAAAAGUUUUGUAGAUCUCCCCAAGAUCACGGUCUGUUCAUCAUGACAGUGACUUACUUUCGUACUGCUUUCAAUCUCUUUUUAUGUUUAGACUUUUUUCAAUCAUUAUGUGAUAUUUUAAUUUAAACUUUAUAUUUAAAAUUUCUUCUUCCCACCCCCCUCCCUUUUCCCUGUGGGUGUAGGGGGUUUGAGUCUCUUUCCUGACAUACCAUAUGGCUAUGUAACUGCUUCUUGUAACUUUUGUUUUAAUUUUGUCUCUCUCGCUCUCUUUUUUUGGUCUGGAAAUCCUGCAGGGUAAUGUUGUCCAUUUUGAUUAUGUAUGCCUACCCCUCCACUGUUUAUAUCAUUAAGGGAGUUUUUGUUUGAUUAGGUGAGCACUUGGUCAACAACAUGCAAUUAUUGACUCCCUUCUGUGGGUAAAAUAUAAAUUUAAGAAGUUAAGUUUCUUAGUUUGUAACAGAGAUUAUCAGCCCCCACCAUUAAAAAAAAAAAAAACCUGAACAUUGCUAAUCUUUGUGGCUGGUUGCUCUGGUAUUUUCCUACUUUGGAGAACGCCAAGCACAUUCGUAUUAUACAUGAAAAUGACCAGAGUUUUUUUGUUUAGAUUGCACGUAUAAUGUGUCAAAUGUUUCUUCAAAAAAAAAUAAAAUAAAGUCAUGUAAUGGGUCAAUGUUAAUACUAGCAGUCAAAUUGCUGAGUGGUUUUCUAAUUCAAUUACCAUAUUUGAUAGCCAUUUGGUUUUUGUUACAUUGAUGCCUUGCUUAGUUACAUGCAGUUUGACUUGGACAAUGCAUAUACUAUUCUUUUAUAUGGUGGCAGUGCCUUGUUGCCCUGUGGUUAGCAUCAACCAUUGUCAGCGCUACUGAUUCUAUUCCACUGGUGUGUAUUUUGUGUUAGGUCUGUUGUUUCUUGGAAUUAUAAACAAGGUAUUCCUUGUAAUCUGAUAAAUUGAUAGUCAAAUGUAAUGAAAUCAGUUUCAAUAAAAUAUCUUCUUUAAAAAAUAUAUAUAUAUAUAUUGUAAUGAAACCAGUUUCCCUAGUUGAUGGAAGUUGUGGGUCUCUGCUCAUUCUGGUUCAGAUAUUGCUAUCUGAUCUUUGAGUUAUCUACUGAAUGUGCUGGGUUUUGAAUUAAUCGCCUGCUUUUAUCAGCUAAAAUUGAAGAGCUUAAGCGAGAGAUUCUUGGUUCAAAUGGUGAUUGACAUGGAGUCACCAAUUGCUUUGUUUAGGUAUAAGUAGGGAGCAAUAGAUAAUUAAUAGUUAAGGCGAUAUAUUUGUUACCUUUUUUCAUUUUCCACUGAAGAUAUAUGGAUAACGAGUAUAAAUUUGUUUAGUUAGUUGUGUUUAACUUGGUUGAUCAGGGAGGGAUGAAUAUUCGGGUCAUUUUGCUUUGUAACUAUAUUCGGUGGUACGAUUUCUUGUGUGAUCAUGGUAAAGGGUUCUAAGGGUAAACAUGCAUUUGUCAUACUAGACCUCUCGGAAUAGAGGAAGAGAGAAACGGAGUUGUGUGGCAUUGCUGGAGAUAUCCGGAUGUCUAUUGUUAUGCGAUCUUUGAACUCGAACCCAGAAUCAUCUGGACAAGGAUAUAAAUGAAGUGGACGUAUAAUUUAGCGUGACCAA